CGAGCGAAGCAGGAUGUUUAAUAUCACUUUAAAUUUUUCAGAACACUAAACCCGACAGAUUUGUUUUCGAAUUUCUUUGUAAUAACCGCUUGCGUGACCCUAUAAGUCCAGUGCGGUCAAGCGAGCUGAAAAAUUGCGCCCAAUUAGUGGUUUUUGAUACGACUCAAUGUAGAUGUGGUAAUCAUACAGGAAAUGACAUCAACGGGUCAAAACUAAAAAGAUGUCGCAGGACGGACGGUGAGUGUGGGACGCCCUAAACCUGCUCUGUACCGUAUGCUUUGAGACAGGUUUCUAUAGUUUUGGGAGGUGGAUGCUGAGGACCUGAGCUGAGUGAGCGCUUCUCCAUCACUUUCAUCCUCUGCAAGUUCAGCGCAGACGACACACUUUCUCAGUGACGCCGUAAUGAAGAAAUGAAGAAGAAAGAAAUGAAUCAGGAAGAGUUGCUGUGUGGUGUGGAAGAAGAGACUGUCUGCCCUGAUUGUUCUGGAUUCUCUGUUAUGGUGUUGGAUUUCAUGUUCAGGAUGAUUUAUCUGAAAACUGUUUAUUAUAUAUAAAAGUAUUUAUUCUUGGCCACAUCUGGUUUAUUUUUUCUUUUAGUAUGUUCGAUUUGACUGUUAAUGUAGCGAGAAUGGUGUUUUUUGACUGUUAUGUAUGACUUAAUUCUGACUAUUGUGAAUACAGUUAACCUCAGUAAAUAUUGUCUUGUAAUGUUUACUCUGUCCAAGAACUUCAUGUGUGGGAAGAAUUAUUUUAUUAAAUAACCCAAGUUUGCGCCCACUCAUUUGGGGGAGACAGUCUUCAGAAGAAAUACAUGAUUCACUUUUUUUUAUUCAAAUUGCUGUUAGUGAUCAAUAUUCCUAGUAUAUAAGUUGUGCAAGUUGUAUUUUACUUUCUAAAUCAUAAUUAUAUUCUGUUCUUAAUGUCAA